CUACGGGACGCUCCAGUGGGGAAUAUUGCGCAAUGGGCGAAAGCCUGACGCAGCAACGCCGUGUGAGGGAUGAAGGCUUUCGGGUCGUAAACCUCUGUCGGAAGGGAAGAACGGGCAUUGGUCUAAUAGGCCUUUGUUUUGACGGUACCUUUAGAGGAAGCACCGGCUAACUCCGUGCCAGCAGCCGCGGUAAUACGGAGGGUGCAAGCGUUAUUCGGAAUUACUGGGCGUAAAGCGCACGUAGGCGGCCUUGUAAGUCAGGGGUGAAAUCCCACGGCUCAACCGUGGAACUGCCUUUGAAACUGCAGGGCUUGAAUCCUGGAGAGGGUGGCGGAAUUCCUGGUGUAGGGGUGAAAUCCGUAGAUAUCAGGAGGAACACCGGUGGCGAAGGCGGCCACCUGGACAGGCAUUGACGCUGAGGUGCGAAAGUGUGGGGAGCAAACAGGAUUAGAUACCCGAGUAGUC
rnacentral:rRNA from 1 species